UACGUAGGGUGCGAGCGUUAAUCGGAAUUACUGGGCGUAAAAGCGUGCGCAGGCGGUUUUGUAAGCCGGAUGUGAAAUCCCCGGGCUUAACCUGGGAAUGGCAUUCGGGACUGCAAGGCUGGAGUGCGGCAGAGGAGACUGGAAUUCCUGGUGUAGCAGUGAAAUGCGUAGAUAUCGAGGAGGAACACCGAUGGCGAAGGCAGGUCUCUGGGCUGACACUGACGCUCAUGCACGAAAGCGUGGGGAG
rnacentral:rRNA from 1 species